CCUGAUUGAUUGAGGGGCCUGUCGUUCAGCAGUUAUCGUUUGUUGAUGUUGUUCAUUUGUAUUUUCCCGUUUAGAUAUACAUGAUAAAUUAGAUCGUUGGUUUUCCUGUUCGAAUUGUGUACGCUAAUAAUUUUCGGGUCCUUUAUAGCCUGCUGUUUGGUCUGUAUCAAAGCCCUGUGUAAAAGGCCGUAUUUUGACCUGUGUUUGUUAUUAUCAGGUUGAGAACAAUCCUCCCUCAGACAAGGGGUCAUUUUACUGAUGUAGAAAAGAAAAUAGAAAUACCAAGGAUUUGUAUAGUUCUUCUAUACAAAACCUUUGAAAACUUAGAAUUUUGUACUCAAAAAGAGGAGAGUUACAUCAUAUUUUAAACAACUUUUUCUAAAAAAAGGGGUCCACUUAUUUUGAAUGAUAUUAAACUGUUAAAGUAAAUGUGUUAACAUGGUUAAAGUCCAGGAAUAUUACAAAAUUCUCGGACAUGUUUUGACCAUUUAAUACCAGAUAGAUAUAUAGUUCUCUGAGAAAAUAUGAGCCCUUUUGUACAAACAAAUAUAUUAUAACUUAUAUUGAUCCCUCAUAAAACAUGUAAAAGGGAUAUUUAUAACAUUAAGGGGUUGUCCCCAAACUGAUUAUGACUUGGAUGGAGAAUUGUCUCAUUGUCAGUCACACAUACAUAGACUAGAUUUAAUUAUUUCUUGGUUAACAGGGAAAAAAUACUUCAGAAAUUAAAGAAAUGUCAAAGUACAAGUGAUAAAUCAAGCUUUAAUAUUGUCAAAACCUACUAUUUUAUGUUUAUAAAAAAAAAUUAUAAUCGCUCGCCUUUACUUUUCAAGCUUCGCCUCAAAAAUUUGCAAAUUAAAUAUUUUUUUAUUAAAAUUUUCA
rnacentral:lncRNA from 1 species